UACCUCAAGUCAAGUAAGAAUACCCGCUGAACUUAAGCAUAUCAAUAAGCGGAGGAAAAGAAACUAACUAGGAUUCCCUUAGUAACGGCGAGUGAACUGGGAAAAGCUCAAAUUUUAAAUCACCUCGGUGAAUUGUAAUUUGAAGAAAGUGUUUUGACUUUUCAGUUUAAUCUAAAUCCUUUGGGAUGAGGUAUCAUAGAGGGUGAGAAUCCCGUUCUUGAUUAAACCUCGGAUUGCACUAAAUUCACUUUCCAAGAGUCGAGUUGUUUGGGAUUGCAGCUCCAAAUGGGUGGUAAAUUUCACCUAAGGCUAAAUAUAUGCAAGAGACCGAUAGCGAACAAGUACCGUGAGGGAAAGAUGAAAAGUACUUUGAAAAGAGAGUUAAACAGUACGUGAAAUUGUUGAAAGGGAAACGAUUGAAGUCAGUCAUGCUAGUGAGGAAUCAACUUGGUGGUUUACUUCCUUGUGCAUUUUCUCGCUUGGCAGGUUAGCAUCAAUUUUGGUUGUCAUCAAAGAAUUGGGGGAAUGUGACUUUUCUUCGGUAAAGUGUUAUAGACCCUGAUUGAUGUGGCGACUGGGAUUGAGGUUUGCAGCGGAUGCCUCUUGUGGCUAGUCACCUGUCUUCUGACCGUCACCUCGUUUUUAACAGCUUGCUGAUGAUUGCGGGAUUUGGCGAUCUAGGAGUUAGAGUGAACAUAAAUUCGCUAAGGAUGCUGACGUAAUGGCUUUAAACGACCCGUCUUGAAACACGGACCAAGGAGUCUAACAUAUGUGCGAGUGUUU
rnacentral:rRNA from 1 species